AAAUAUUUAAUCUAAAAAAGAUUACUAAUUUCGACUUAGUAAAUUUUGGUUAAAUUCCAAAAAUAUUUU
rnacentral:tRNA from 1 species